AGUCGGACCUGCCCAGUGAAAUUUUUUAACGGCCGCGGUACUCUGACCGUGCAAAGGUAGCAUAAUCAUUUGCCUUAUAAUUGAAGGCUAGUAUGAAUGGUUUGACAAGAAUAUAGCUGUCUCUUUCUGAUUAAAUAGAAUUUUAUUUAGGGGUGAAGAAGCCUCUAUCAAAUUAAAAGACAAGAAGACCCUAUCGAGCUUUAAAAAAGUUAAUAGAUGNAAAUAAUUUAUANUAUUUAAAAAAUUAACUAUUAAAAAUUUUAGUUGGGGCGACUGAGGAACAAAAAAAGCUUCCUUUAUNAGUAUAANAACCACACGAGUAUUGAUCCAGAAUAUUUUGAUUAAAGGAAUUAGUUACCGUAGGGAUAACAGCAUUAUCUUUUUUAAGAGUUCUUAUCGAAAAGAAGGUUUGUGACCUCGAUGUUGGACCAGAAUAUCCUAAAGAUGCAGUAGUCUU
rnacentral:rRNA from 1 species